UACGGAGGGUGCAAGCGUUAUCCGGAUUCACUGGGUUUAAAGGGUGCGUAGGUGGGCAGGUAAGUCAGUGGUGAAAUCUCCGGGCUUAACCCGGAAACUGCCGUUGAUACUAUUUGUCUUGAAUAUUGUGGAGGUAAGCGGAAUAUGUCAUGUAGCGGUGAAAUGCCUAGAUAUGACAUAGAACACCAAUUGCGAAGGCAGCUGGCUACACAAAUAUUGACACUGAGGCACGAAAGCGUGGGGAUCAAACAGG
rnacentral:rRNA from 1 species